rnacentral:rRNA from 1 species
CCUACGGGGGGCUGCAGUGGGGAAUAUUGGACAAUGGGGGCAACCAUGAUCCAGCCAUGCCGCGUGUGUGAAGAAGGCCCUCGGGUUGUAAAGCACUUUCAGUGAGGAAGAACGCCUGGUGGUUAAUACCCAUCAGGAAAGACAUCACUCACAGAAGAAGCACCGGCUAACUCCGUGCCAGCAGCCGCGGUAAUACGGAGGGUGCGAGCGUUAAUCGGAAUUACUGGGCGUAAAGCGCGCGUAGGUGGCUUGAUAAGCCGGUUGUGAAAGCCCCGGGCUCAACCUGGGAACGGCAUCCGGAACUGUCAAGCUAGAGUGCAGGAGAGGAAGGUAGAAUUCCCGGUGUAGCGGUGAAAUGCGUAGAGAUCGGGAGGAAUACCAGUGGCGAAGGCGGCCUUCUGGACUGACACUGACACUGAGGUGCGAAAGCGUGGGUAGCAAACAGGAUUAGAUACCCUGGUAGUC